rnacentral:rRNA from 1 species
AGAGUUUGAUCCUGGCUCAGGACGAACGCUGGCGGCGUGCUUAACACAUGCAAGUCGAGCGGUAAGGCCCCUUCGGGGGUACACGAGCGGCGAACGGGUGAGUAACACGUGAGUAACCUGCCCCCCACUUUGGGAUAACCCCGGGAAACCGGGGCUAAUACCGAAUACGACCACUCAGGGCAUCCUGAGAGGUGGAAAGCUCCGGCGGUGGAGGAUGGACUUGCGGCCUAUCAGCUUGUUGGUGCGGGUAACGGCCCACCAAGGCGACGACGGGUAGCCGGCCUGAGAGGGUGACCGGCCACACUGGGACUGAGACACGGCCCAGACUCCUACGGGAGGCAGCAGUGGGGAAUAUUGGACAAUGGGCGAAAGCCUGAUCCAGCAACGCCGCGUGAGGGAUGACGGCCUUCGGGUUGUAAACCUCUUUCAGCGGGGACGAAGCGAAAGUGACGGUACCCGCAGAAGAAGCACCGACCAACUACGUGCCAGCAGCCGCGGUAACACGUAGGGUGCAAGCGUUGUCCGGAAUUAUUGGGCGUAAAGGGCUCGUAGGCGGUCCGUCACGUCGGGAGUGAAAACUCGGGGCUCAACCCCCGAGCCUGCUUCCGAUACGGGCGGACUAGAGGUAGGUAGGGGAGAACGGAAUUCCUGGUGUAGCGGUGGAAUGCGCGAUAUCAGGAGGAACACCGGUGGCGAAGGCGGUUCUCUGGGCCUUACCUGACGCUGAGGAGCGAAAGCGUGGGGAGCGAACAGGAUUAGAUACCCUGGUAGUCC